GUAAGAUGAUUGGAGCUCGAAACUUAUAUAUGUUCAAUGUUCAAUGUUUGCUUGUUUUGUCUCUUGCUGUUUUGUUUGAAUUUGUAAUUGAACCAUAGGGUAAGCAGACUUGCGAGAACCUUGGUUCCACCCUGGAUGAAAGUCCAAGGUUUGGUUGUAAUUUUGGUUUGGGGCACCAUUUCUUUGCCGCGGUUUGUCCUGUCUAAUGUCUGUCCUGUCUAAUGUCUCCAUGUCUCAUAUUUGUGGCAUGCAUGGGUCAGGGGUCUUUUCUUGUUGCCCUAAGCACAUGGCACGGGAAAGGAGUUCUGCCAUGUGUCACGGGUUAGAAUGUGUUAUGUUGGAGUCCCCCGAGGCUGCUUUUCUGAACUCGAACCACUGCUGCAGCCCUUACAGCUGAGCCUGGCCCAUGUAGGUUUCUGCUUCUCUCUGACAUCUGAGUAUCAGUUGCUGACUACCGGCUGUUCUAAGUAGACUGCGAGCCCUAGAUUUGCUGUGGAUGUGAACCAGUCCAGCUGAUGUGGACACCCCCUGUCUCUGCAACAGUGUCUGCUAACCAGAAGCCCCUGAUGGAUUCCCCAUUGCCUAAAUUCCUUUUUGCUUUUGACUAGCAUUUCAACCUUCUGGGGUCCCUAACUUCGUCCCAAAGUCAGCAGG
rnacentral:lncRNA from 1 species